GCGGCAACAGCUCAAAUUUGAAAUCUGGCCCUCGGGUCCGAGUUGUAAUUUGUAGAGGAUGCUUUUGGUGCGGUGCUUCCGAGUUCCCUGGAACGGGACGCCAUAGAGGGUGAGAGCCCCGUCUGGUCGGAUACCAAUCCUCUGUAAAGCUCCUUCGACGAGUCGAGUAGUUUGGGAAUGCUGCUCUAAAUGGGAGGUAUAUGUCUUCUAAAGCUAAAUAUUGGCCAGAGACCGAUAGCGCACAAGUAGAGUGAUCGAAAGAUGAAAAGCACUUUGAAAAGAGAGUUAAAAAGUACGUGAAAUUGUUGAAAGGGAAGCGCUUAUGACCAGACUUGGACUUGGUUGAUCAUCCUGGGUUCUCCCUGGUGCACUCUUCCAGUUCAGGCCAGCAUCAGUUUGCUUCGGGGGAUAAAGGUUUCGGGAAUGUGGCUCCCCCGGGAGUGUUAUAGCCCGUUGCGCAAUACCCUGGAGCAGACUGAGGUUCGCGCAUCUGCAAGGAUGCUGGCGUAAUGGUCAUCAGCGACCCGUCUUGAAACACGGACCAAGGAGUCGUCUUCGUAUGCGAGUGUUCGGGUGUUAAACCCCUACGCGUAAUGAAAGUGAACGCAGGUGAGAGCUUCGGCGCAUCAUCGACCGAUCCUGAUGUUCUCGGAUGGAUUUGAGUAAGAGCAUACGGGGCCGGACCCGAAAGAAGGUGAACUAUGCCUGUAUAGGGUGAAGCCAGAGGAAACUCUGGUGGAGGCUCGCAGCGGUUCUGACGUGCAAAUCGAUCGUCAAAUAUGGCAUGGGGCGAAAGACUAAUCGAACCUUCUAGUAGCUGGGUUCGC
rnacentral:rRNA from 1 species